GCCCGCUUGGCUUAGGGGUAGAGCGUCGCACUCGUAUUAUAGCAAUGCGAAGGUCCUUCGUUCGAUUCGGAGAGUGGGCA